UACGUAGGGGGCAAGCGUUGUCCGGAAUCAUUGGGCGUAAAGAGCGUGUAGGCGGCCCGGUAAGUCCGCUGUGAAAGUCCGGGGCUCAACCCUGGGAUGCCGGUGGAUACUGUCGGGCUCGAGUCCGGAAGAGGAGUGUGGAAUUCCUGGUGUAGCGGUGAAAUGCGCAGAUAUCAGGAGGAACAUCCGUGGCGAAGGCGGCUCUCUGGGACGGUACUGACGCUGAGACGCGAAAGCGUGGGGAGCGAACAGG
rnacentral:rRNA from 1 species